rnacentral:lncRNA from 10 species
GAUCUCCAUGAUUAAAAAAAAAGAAAGAAAGAAAGAAAGAAAUCAAGCAGGCAUUACCGUUUUCAUUUUACAGAUGGCCUAACAAAUCCCCUAGCUCGAGUCAGCCUUCAGAGCACUGCCGGGUUGUUCCUGAGUCAGCUGCUAGCCCACACUUGAAUCACCCUUUGACAAGACUUCCCAGGCUGUGGCCUCACCCACCUCACACAGUCCUUGGUGUCCUCCUGCGUCAGGAGGAACCCAGAAAUUUUUGAAGGCAGGAUAGGUACCAGCGCAGCCUGGGAGGAGCGCGCCCCCUUUCGGCGAAAGAAGGCAAGGAGGAAAGCGUCUGGCGAGGCUCGCCGCUAAUUUACCCGGCGGAAAGCAGCGCCUGGCGUCGCUACAGCAGAGAGGAGAACUGCGAAGAUGGGGUGGGGGUGUUUGUUUCUUUGCCGAGGCAGAGACCACACCACUAUAACCAAAAAUACUGUGGGCUCUGUUUUCAACGUUAAAAUUCUUCAUUCAGUUAAUUACUCUUCCACCCAUUCCACAACCUCAAGCCCCAGUAAAGUGGGGAGCCUGAAGGUGACAUCUUGUUGGUUUGGAGAUGAUUUAUUCGCUCGUGUUGUAAAAUCUAAAAUGACACUCCUGGGAAGAGGAAGGAACUAUAAGGACCCGUGUGACCCAUUGCUGUCUGCCUGAAGCCCUGGCGCUCUGACCUGAGUGCACCGGGGUUAGGUGUCUCAGCCAAAAUGCAGGACUGCACGACGUCUAACACAUGGGAGAGAUGCUCUGAAACAUGGGGGUGGGUAUUCACUGCAUUCCAGAGUUGGGGGAUCUGGAGACCCAGUGAGUCCUUCGGACUUCACAGGCCUGUCUCCCCACACUUCAAAUUCCAAAUCGUCCUUCACCCAAAAGUGGGUAGGAGUCACUGGACUAUCAAUUUCCCCAAAAUUCUAAGAGAAGGAGGUAACCCGGGCCCCUACUUCUGCAUGUAAAAUAAACCGAAAUCACCACCUCUUGGCUGGCCUUGACAUUCAGCUCUGGGGACUCAGUGAGGCACUUAAUCCUGUAUUUCACCUCCUCUAAAGAGAAAAGUUUCCAAGCUACCCUUAAAGCUUUAUAUUUCAUUGGCUCCCCUCUUCAACGAGAUAAUUGAAGCUCAAAUUUAGACUGCCAGUGGGCCCCAGAGUCCCAGGAUGGUGCUGCAUAAGAAAAUUUCUGGCGCCAGGGUUGUUGCA